rnacentral:rRNA from 1 species
AGUGAACGCUGGCGGUAGGCCUAACACAUGCAAGUCGAACGGCAGCACAGUAAGAGCUUGCUCUUACGGGUGGCGAGUGGCGGACGGGUGAGGAAUACAUCGGAAUCUACUUUUUCGUGGGGGAUAACGUAGGGAAACUUACGCUAAUACCGCAUACGGCCUACGGGUGAAAGCAGGGGAUCUUCGGACCUUGCGCGAUUGAAUGAGCCGAUGUCGGAUUAGCUAGUUGGCGGGGUAAAGGCCCACCAAGGCGACGAUCCGUAGCUGGUCUGAGAGGAUGAUCAGCCACACUGGAACUGAGACACGGUCCAGACUCCUACGAGAGGCAGCAGUGGGGAAUAUUGGACGAUGGGCGCAAGCCUGAUCCAGCCAUACCGCGUGGGUGAAGAAGGCCUUCGGGUUGUAAAGCCCUUUUGUUGGGAAAGAAAAGCAGCAGGUUAAUACCCCGCUGUUCUGACGGUACCCAAAGAAUAAGCACCGGCUAACUUCGUG